rnacentral:rRNA from 1 species
UACGGAGGGUGCAAGCGUUAUCCGGAUUCACUGGGUUUAAAGGGUGCGUAGGUGGGCAGGUAAGUCAGUGGUGAAAUCUCCGGGCUUAACUCGGAAACUGCCAUUGAUACUAUCUUUCUUGAAUACCGUGGGGGUCAGCGGAAUAUGUCAUGUAGCGGUGAAAUGCUUAGAUAUGACAUAGAACACCAAUUGCGAAGGCAGCUGGCUACACGAAUAUUGACACUGAUGCACGAAAGCGUGGGGAUCAAACAGG